rnacentral:lncRNA from 1 species
GUACAACUCUGGAGACCUUACCUCCUUAAGCAUAAACUUUUUUAUCAAGACUAAUCAAAGAAGCCUCAAGUAUCUUUUAGGGCAACGCAUCAUUACCCUAGAACAAAAAAAAUGGAUGUUUAAGCUCUUCGAGUAUGAUUGAGAUUCUCUAAAAACUAGGAAAUGAAAACUCUGCUGCAGAUGCCCUCUCUCGUAAAGAAGGAAGGCCCAUCUUGCAUAACAUAUCCACUCUUCACUGUAAUAUCUAGGACAACGUUCAGAAGACAGCACUCAAACAUCCUUAUAUG